CCGGAGUAAAGGUUGGUCACCUUAAAAUUGCUCCGGGCAAACGAUUAGUGCGAAUAUGUGGUUGCCGUCGCCACCUAUAUGUGCGGUUCCAAGAGUCGGUGCGUUUUGUCGAAGAUUAUAAACGAGAGGGACACCGUCUGGCAACACGGAAAGGGUGCUAAAUUGAGAACUAACGUGAGCGAUAGCAGCUUGCCGAUGUCUGAAUCUUGACGGCAGGAAUAUGUGCUUGAGCAUGCACGAGCAUACGUGGCGAAAAAUGUAAUUUUUCUUUGAUUAUACCCCAGAUCGGGUGAGACUACCCGCUGAAUUUAAGCAUA
rnacentral:rRNA from 1 species